rnacentral:autocatalytically_spliced_intron from 1 species
GAAAGCCGAAUGUGGAAAAACCGCAUGUACGAUUUGAUGAGGGAGUGCUGCCGCAAGGCAACUUUCUACUCUAC